AUUGAACGCUGGCGGCAGGCUUAACACAUGCAAGUCGAGCGGGGUGAUGGUGCUUGCACUAUCACUUAGCGGCGGACGGGUGAGUAAUGCUUAGGAAUCUGCCUAUUAGUGGGGGACAACAUCUCGAAAGGGAUGCUAAUACCGCAUACGUCCUACGGGAGAAAGCAGGGGAUCACUUGUGACCUUGCGCUAAUAGAUGAGCCUAAGUCGGAUUAGCUAGUUGGUGGGGUAAAGGCCUACCAAGGCGACGAUCUGUAGCGGGUCUGAGAGGAUGAUCCGCCACACUGGGACUGGGACACGGCCCAGACUCCUACGGGAGGCAGCAGUGGGGAAUAUUGGACAAUGGGGGGAACCCUGAUCCAGCCAUGCCGCGUGUGUGAAGAAGGCCUUAUGGUUGUAAAGCACUUUAAGCGAGGAGGAGGCUCUUUUGGUUAAUACCCAAGAUGAGUGGACGUUACUCGCAGAGUAAGCACCGGCUAACUCUGUGCCAGCAGCCGCCGUAA
rnacentral:rRNA from 1 species